rnacentral:rRNA from 1 species
AUUGAACGCUGGCGGCAUGCUUUACACAUGCAAGUCGAACGGCAGCGCGGGCUUCGGCCUGGCGGCGAGUGGCAAACGGGUGAGUAAUGCAUCGGAACGUGCCCAGUAGUGGGGGAUAGCCCGGCGAAAGCCGGAUUAAUACCGCAUACGACCUGAGGGUGAAAGCGGGGGACCGAAAGGCCUCGCGCUAUUGGAGCGGCCGAUGUCGGAUUAGCUAGUUGGUGGGGUAAAGGCUUACCAAGGCGACGAUCCGUAGCUGGUCUGAGAGGACGACCAGCCACACUGGGACUGAGACACGGCCCAGACUCCUACGGGAGGCAGCAGUGGGGAAUUUUGGACAAUGGGGGCAACCCUGAUCCAGCCAUGCCGCGUGCGGGAAGAAGGCCUUCGGGUUGUAAACCGCUUUUGUUCGGGAAGAAAUCCUCUGGGCUAAUACCCCGGGGGGAUGACGGUACCGGAAGAAUAAGCACCGGCUAACUACGUG